AUUGAACGCUGGCGGCAGGCCUAACACAUGCAAGUCGAACGGUAACAGGAAGAAGCUUGCUUCUUUGCUGACGAGUGGCGGACGGGUGAGUAAUGUCUGGGAAACUGCCUGAUGGAGGGGGAUAACUACUGGAAACGGUAGCUAAUACCGCAUAACGUCGCAAGACCAAAAAGGGGGACCUUCGGGCCUCUUGCCAUCGGAUGUGCCCAGAUGGGAUUAGCUAGUAGGUGGGGUAACGGCUCACCUAGGCGACGAUCCCUAGCUGGUCUGAGAGGAUGACCAGCCACACUGGAACUGAGACACGGUCCAGACUCCUACGGGAGGCAGCAGUGGGGAAUAUUGCACAAUGGGCGCAAGCCUGAUGCAGCCAUGCCGCGUGUAUGAAGAAGGCCUUCGGGUUGUAAAGUACUUUCAGCGGGGAGGAAGGGAGUAAAGUUAUUACCUUUGCUCAUUGACGUUACCCGCAGAAGAAGCACCGGCUAACUCCGUG
rnacentral:rRNA from 1 species